AUAUAACUAUACAAAUUACCCAAAUCGGGAUAAACCUUUUAUUUCUACAUAUGAUCUUUACUUUAUAUGAAGACAUCAGAAGGACAAUUGGGUGAGGACCAUAACUGAAAUUUAGCAGAAAUUGUUCACAAUAUUGUUGAAUUUUUAUACUAAAAUAUGCAUAUUUGCAUCGUAGUUUCAAAAUGUUUUUGACUUCCCAAAACAUCAAGGCAUCUUCAUUUCGAGCUGAGUCAGCACCUGGAGCCAUGGUGGACCCGCAAACUAACGCGCAGACUGUCACACCAUUACAAAACAAAUUAUGAAGCGAAUGGCACAAGACUAUUGUAAGCAGACGGGGAAAGAUUGUAUUUAUUGAUACGAAAUUCAGAAAUCUCUAUCAAUCAGGAACCUCGAGUUAACGAAAAUGAAGAUCCCUGUUGGUGCUUCUCUCCUCACUCUAGCGAUUUACUUCAGUUUCGUUGCGCGGUUACGCCACGCAUAACCUAUACUCUGAGCGACUGAAACCGAACUGAAGCGGAAGUCCUGCGACAUUUUUUCCACUAACUUAGGGUGACCAUAUGUCAAAGAGGGAAAACCGGGAUAUUUCUCAUCGAAAACCGGGACAAUCCCGAACACUUCCCCCACUCCUCGCCCAAUCAUUAUUAACCGCGUUCACAUAGAAGUGGAGAGUGUAACGUAACGUUACGUAAUGGUCAGUAACAGGAGGUUUUUGACCCUAAACCUUCUGUUAUAUACCAUUCGAGAAUAUAUACCAUCCGAGAAUUUACACUGACGUUUCGGCAUUCUUCUCACGUGCGGAGGUGCAGUUUAAAAAACUAAGUAACCUAAAGAGUAAA